CCUACGGGUGGCAGCAGUGGGGAAUAUUGCACAAUGGGGGAAACCCUGAUGCAGCGACGCCGCGUGAGCGAGGAAGUAUUUCGGUAUGUAAAGCUCUAUCAGCAGGGACGAAAAAUGACGGUACCUGACUAAGAAGCCCCGGCUAACUACGUGCCAGGAGCCGCGGUGAUACGUAGGGGGCAAGCGUUAGUCGGAUUUAAUGGGGGUAAAGGGAGCGUAGACGGUAAGGCAAGCGAGAAGUGAAAGGGCAGGGCUCAACCCUGGACAUGCUUUUGGGACUAGGGUGCUAGAGUGCAGGAGAGGUAAGUGGAAUUCCUAGUGUAGCGGUGAAAUGCGUAGAUAUUAGGAGGAACACCAGUGGCGAAGGCGGCUUACUGGACUGUAACUGACGUUGAGGCUCGAAAGCGUGGGGAGCAAACAGGAUUAGAUACCCCAGUAGUC
rnacentral:rRNA from 1 species